GGUCACUGCUAUUGGGGUUCGGCUAAGCCAUGCGAGCGGAGGGCGCGGUCGAAAGGUCGUGGCCCCGCACACGGCUCAGUAACACGUAGUCAACCUACCCUUGGGACGGGGACAACCUCGGGAAACUGAGGCUAAUCCCCGAUAGGCGGGGGACGCUGGGAUGCCUCCUCGCCCAAAGCUCCGGCGCCCGAGGAUGGGACUGCGGCCUAUCAGGCUGUUGGUGGUGUAACGGACCACCAAACCUACGACGGGUACGGGCGAUGGGAGUCGGAGCCUGGAGAUGGGGACUGAGACAAGGCCCCAGGCCCUACGGGGCGCAGCAGGCGCGAAAACUCCGCAAUGCGCGCAAGCGUGACGGGGGGAUCCCAAGUGCCGUUGGUCUUUCGAUCGACGGUUUUUAGGAAGUCUAAGAAGCUUCCAGAAUAAGGGCUGGGCAAGACUGGUGCCAGCCGCCGCGGUAACACCAGCAGCCCAAGUGGUGGCCACGAUUAUUGGGCCUAAAGCGCUCGUAGCCGGAUCAAUAAGUCCCUUGUGAAAUCGGGCCGCCCAACGGUUCGGCGUGCAAGGGAUACUGUUGGUCUUGAGGCCGGGAGAGGUCGGAGGUACUCCUGGGGUAGCGGUGAAAUGCUCUAAUCCUAGGGGGACCACCAGUGGCGAAGGCGUCCGACCAGAACGGACCUGACGGUGAGGGGCGAAGGCUAGGGGAGCGAACGGGAUUAGAUACCCCGGUAGUCCUAGCUGUAAAGCAUGCGGGCCAGGUGUCUAGCGCUCCUUGAGGGCGCUAUGUGCCGGAGGGAAGCCGUUAAGCCCGCCGCCUGGGAAGUACGGUCGCAAGGCUGAAACUUAAAGAAAUUGGCGGGGAGCACCACAAGAGGUGGGACCUGCGGUUC
rnacentral:rRNA from 1 species